rnacentral:tRNA from 1 species
GAGGGCAUAGCUCAGUGGUAGAGCACAUGCUUAGCAUUCAUGAGGUCCUGGGUUCAAUCCCCAGUACCUCCU